UUUUCAGCAGCCGCGGUAAUACGUAGGGUGCGAGCGUUGUCCGGAAUUAUUGGGCGUAAAGAGCUCGUAGGCGGUCCGUCGCGUCGAAUGUGAAAAUCCGGGGCUCAACCCCGGACUUGCAUUCGAUACGGGCGGACUAGAGUUCGGUAGGGGAGACUGGAAUUCCUGGUGUAGCGGUGAAAUGCGCAGAUAUCAGGAGGAACACCGGUGGCGAAGGCGGGUCUCUGGGCCGAUACUGACGCUGAGGAGCGAAAGCGUGGGGAGCGAACAGGAUUAGAAACCCGUGUAGUCC
rnacentral:rRNA from 1 species